GCAGCUGUGGCCUACUGGUUAGCGCUUCAGACUUGUAACCGGAGGGUUGCCGGUUCGAACCCGACUAGUAGCC
rnacentral:tRNA from 1 species